GGAAUUAGGUCAAGAGAAUUGUGACCUUUGAGCUUUCUUCAUUCAAAAGAUCUCACUCUUUCUUCUUCACCGAGAAACGGCGACGGCAACCUCCCUUGCUCCGGCGCGAUUCGCGACACACCACUCUCCUGUCUCCACUUCAAAUCGAUCAUCUCUCAACAAUGACCUCUCCGAAUCAAGCUCGUUCUCAUCUCAGAUUACCUCUCGUCUCGAUCGGAGUUUCUUCACGGUGGCGGAGAAUUUCGAAGAGGAGAUUCAGCGUUGUGAGGGUGAUGACACGAUGAAGACGCGUUGAUAGAGUCAAAAACCUUGAGGAUUGCAGAACCACGAACAAACGGAGAAGAUUGAAGAUCAUGAAGAGAUUUUCUGUUGCCAAGAUUGAAGAAUUUCUGCCAAAUCUUUGAAGGUUGGAGAUUUUUUUAAAGUUGAAGAGCGAAUUCGAGAGAGAUAUUGAAGAUUUUCAGAGUUAAAGAACUCGGUUCUCUUGUGAUAGUUUCUGUUCGAGUUUUUUGUUACUCUUUUUCAGUGAUGAAGAAUGGUAGAGAUUGUAGAAUCGUGGAGGUUAGUGGAUGAAGAUGAUGAGGAAUGGUGUGAAGAUGAUGAAGAGUGGGUGAUGGUGUGCGAAGAUGAAUGAGGGUGAAAUGGCGUGUCGAACCUUGAAUCAUGGAGGGAGAUUCUGUUAUAUAGUAUCAGGGAGAAUCAGAAUUGAUUGAAAGGGCUGACUUUGGCUUGGAUUUCAGUGGUGAUGUUGGUUUUGUUAUGUGGAUGCAGGGCUGAUUUGUGAAAUGCAGGUUCAGGAUUAUCGAUAAGCUUCGGCAUGGUAUUAUAUGUGGCAGAUGCAGGUAGCAGCAGGCUAUGGUUCCAAUUUGGUAGAAUGUAAACCGGUUUUUUUAACGGGAUGUGGAUGUAUGUUUGUUAUGCAUUUGAGUGUGAUCGGAAGAGAUUAGUUAAUGACUGUUAGCAUGAAGGUAUGGGGAGUUUGUGUACUGAGUUUAUGAUUGGUUAUGCUGUUUUUCAACAUGCAGGCAGCAGGUUGGCUCAAUGAACGGGAACAGAAGGUGGGCUUAUGGUCAUAAAGCUUGAAGAUCGAAAUAGCAAAAUCGGAAGUGUGUCUAGAAUAGGAUUUGGAUUUUUCUUUGUAGUUUUUGAUGUGAAUGUCUCAGUGUAAUAACAUGGAAUUGAUUUUGUGUAAUUGUGGAUGAACUUUGGAUGUCGUAAUGAUAAUGGGAAUUGAAAGAA